rnacentral:rRNA from 1 species
GUCGAACGGAGCUUUUCGGAGCUAAGUGGCGGACGGGUGAGUAACGCGUGAGAAUCUACCUUUUGGAGGGGGACAACACUGGGAAACCAAUGCUAAGACCCCAUAGGCUGAAAAGUGAAAAACGAAAGUUGCCAAGAGAGGAGCUCGCGUCUGAUUAGCUAGUUGGUAGUGUAAAAGACAACCAAGGCGACGAUCAGUAGCUGGUCUGAGAGGACGAACAGCCACACUGGGACUGAGACACGGCCCAGACUCCUACGGGAGGCAGCAGUGGGGAAUUUUCCGCAAUGGGCGAAAGCCUGACGGAGCAAUACCGCGUGAGGGAGGAAGGCCUUUGGGUUGUAAACCUCAAAAAUUAGGGAAGAAAAAAAUGACGGUACCUAAAAUAAGCAUCGGCUAACUCCGUG